rfam:Candidatus Nitrocosmicus oleophilus strain MY3, complete genome.
AUAGCCGGCCAUAGCGUUAGGGCCCGACCCGGUCCCAUUCCGAACCCGGAAGUCAAACCUGAUGUCGCUGCUGGAUACUGACGUGCGUGAGCCGUUGGGAAACAGCAGUGCUGGCACCU